rnacentral:rRNA from 1 species
AUUGAACGCUGGCGGCAUGCCUUACACAUGCAAGUCGAACGGUAACAGGUCUUCGGACGCUGACGAGUGGCGAACGGGUGAGUAAUACAUCGGAACGUGCCCAGUCGUGGGGGAUAACUACUCGAAAGAGUAGCUAAUACCGCAUACGAUCUGAGGAUGAAAGCGGGGGACCUUCGGGCCUCGCGCGAUUGGAGCGGCCGAUGGCAGAUUAGGUAGUUGGAAGGGUAAAGGCCUACCAAGGCGACGAUCAGUAGCCGGUCUGAGAGGAUGAACGGCCGCACUGGAACUGAGACACGGUCCAG